rnacentral:rRNA from 1 species
UGGGGAAUCUUGGGCAAUGGGGGCAACCCUGACCCAGCAACGUCGCGUGAAGGAUGAAGGUCUUCGGAUUGUAAACUUCUUUGGCCGAGGAAGAUAAUGACAUUACUCGGAGAACAAGCCACGGCUAACUACGUGCCAGCAGCCGCGGUAAUACGUAGGUGGCGAGCGUUAUCCGGAUUUACUGGGUGUAAAGGGCGCGUAGGUGGGUCUUUAAGUCAGAUGUGAAAUUUCCGGGCUUAACUCGGAGCGGUCAUCUGAAACUGGAGGUCUUGAGUGUCGGAGAGGAAAGCGGAAUUCCUAGUGUAGCGGUAAAAUGCGUAGAUAUUAGGAGGAACACCGGUGGCGAAGGCGGCUUUCUGGACGACAACUGACGCUGAGGCGCGAAAGCGUGGGGAGCAAACAGG